rnacentral:misc_RNA from 1 species
GAUGAAGAACGUAGCGAAAUGCGAUAAGUAAUGUGAAUUGCAGAAUUCAGUGAAUCAUCGAAUCUUUGAACGCACAUUGCACCCGCCAGUAUUCUGGCGGGCAUGCCUGUUCGAGCGUCAUUUCAACCCUCAAGCCCCCGGGCUUGGUGUUGGGGAUCGGCGUGCCCUCGCGGCGCGCCGUCCCCUAAAUCUAGUGGCGGUCUCGCUGUAGCUUCCUCUGCGUAGUAGCAACACUCGCACUGGAUCGCAGCGCGGCCACGCCGUUAAACCCCCCACUUCUGAAAGUUUGACCUCGGAUCAGGUAGGAAUACCCGCUGAACUUAAGCAUAUCAAUAAGCGGAGGA